UACUUAUGACAUAUUCAGAUGGUGUUAUCUUGUUGUGCGAUCCACAAGGAUGGCAUUGAUCAAAUAUGACUAUAUGGGAAUGAAGAAUCAAAUUUAACCAGAACAUUAUAAUUUAUUAUGCUAUCCAUAAGAUUAUAAGUAUUUUAGAGAUAAAAGAAAUGUUGAAAUUUGCAUGAGAUGCAACUGGUAAAAGCUAUCAGCACUUGAACUCAUUAAUGCUUAUUGUAUUAUCCACA
rnacentral:lncRNA from 1 species